CGGCGGACGGGUGAGUAAUGCCUAGGAAUCUGCCUGGUAGUGGGGGACGAACGUUUCGAAAGGAACGCUAAUACCGCAUACGUCCUACGGGAGAAAGCAGGGACCUUCGGGCCUUGCGCUAUCAGAUGAGCCUAGGUCGGAUUAGCUAGUUGGUGAGGUAAUGGCUCACCAAGGCGACGAUCCGUAACUGGUCUGAGAGGAUGAUCAGUCACACUGGAACUGAGACACGGUCCAGACUCCUACGGGAGGCAGCAGUA
rnacentral:rRNA from 1 species